GCCUACAUGAAGUCGGAGUUGCUAGUAAUCGCGGAUCAGAAUGCCGCGGUGAAUGCGUUCCCGGGUCUUGUACACACCGCCCGUCACACCAUGGAAGUUGGGGCGCCCGAAGUUGCCUAAGAAAUAAGGUACCUAAGGCGAAACCAAUGACUGGGGUGAAGUCGUAACAAGGUAAC
rnacentral:rRNA from 1 species